rnacentral:rRNA from 1 species
AAUCUUCCGCAAUGGACGAAAGUCUGAAGGAUCGACGCCGCGUGAGUGAUGAGGGUCUUCGGAUCGUAAGACUCUGUUGUUUGGGAAGAAUAAGUAUGGACCGAAUAAGUCGGUAGCUUGUCGGUACAUAACCAGAAAGCACCGGCUAACUACGUGCAAGCAGCCGCGGUAAUACGUAGGGGGCAAGCGUUGUACGGAAUUAUGGGGCGUAAAGGGCGCGCAGGCGGUCUUUUAAGUCUGAUGUGAAAUCUCGUAGCUUAACUACGAGCGGUCAUUGGAAACUGGAAGACUUGAGGACAGAAGAGGAGAGUGGAAUUCCACGUGUAGCGGUGAAAUGCGUAGAGAUGUGGAGGAACACCAGUGGCGAAGGCGACUCUCUGGUCUGUAGCUGACGCUGAGGCGCGAAAGCGUGGGGAGCGAACA